CGAAGAAUUUUAAUGCUCUUUCAAGUUUAUUUCUUCACCUUAUUAUGGAUUUAUUUGAAUAUUUUAAAUAAUCUAAAUUUAUGACAAACAUGUUCGUAGAUCCAAUAUAUCAGUAUGUAUAGAUUCAGAACAUCAUUGGCUCGUUCAUCUUUUUCAGUAAAAGAUGACUUGAUCAUCUUACUAAGGAGAUAUGAUUGACAGGUUGACAAUGAUUCAUAAUCAUUGAUCUCAAGAAUUAUCACUGUUGAUCCUAUUCUUAUUUAUAUGAUCAAGCUUAAAUUGCCAAAGGUAGGCUUUCAUGACAUUAUCUAUUUUAGGAAGUUUAUUUGAUUG
rnacentral:lncRNA from 1 species